rnacentral:misc_RNA from 1 species
GAAAUGCGAUAAGUAGUGUGAAUUGCAAAAUUCAGUGAAUCAUCGAAUCUUUGAACGCACAUUGCGCCCUUUGGUAUUCCUUAGGGCAUGCCUGUUCGAGCGUCAUUUAAACCUUCAAGCUCAGCUUGGUGAUGGGUGACUGUCCCCCCCCUCGCGGGGGGACUCGCCUCAAAAACAUUGGCGGCCGGUACAUUGGCUUCGAGCGCAGCAGAAACGCGGUCUCGAGUCCUGUGGAUCGGCUCCCAUAAGCCUCUUCUUUUAUUUUGACCUCGGAUCAGGUAGGGAUACCCGCUGAACUUAAGC